AAACUUUACAAUGCGGGAAACCGUGAUAAGGGAACUCCGAGUGCCCGUAAAAUCGGGCUGUCCAUCUGUUUAAAUAACAGGUGAAGAAAGGGCCGGGCAAGACCGGUGCCAGCCGCCGCGGUAAUACCGGCGGCUCGAGUGGUGGCCACUAUUACUGGGCUUAAAGCGUUCGUAGCUGGUCUGUUAAGUCUCUGGGGAAAUCUACUGGCUUAACCAAUAGGCGUCUCAGGGAUACUGGCAGACUAGGGACCGGGAGAGGUGAGAGGUACUCCAGGGGUAGGAGUGAAAUCCUGUAAUCCUUGGGGGACCACCUGUGGCGAAGGCGUCUCACCAGAACGGCUCCGACAGUGAGGGACGAAAGCUGGGGGAGCAAACCGGA
rnacentral:rRNA from 1 species